GCGAAUGAUUGUUCAAUAAAAGCGCUUACCCGAAAAGCUUAUCCACAACGCGAUUUAUCUUUACUUCUGCGUCAAUCUUGGAGCUAUAGAGCAUCAACAACGUUGCGUCGUCAUUUCCAAUCCAAACGAGACACCGCCUCCACGAAGAAGAGCCACGAAGGUAAUCGCGGCGGCUGAGGCAUCGUUUUCUCCUUCUUCGAAUUGAAUACCAAACCAAAAUUGCACGAUGCAAAUAGGUUGAGGGAUGAAGAACACAUUGUACGCGUCAACGUAUUGCCCGGCGUUGCCUUUACGACUUAAACAAGAGACUGAAAGAAAUAUCUCGCCGGAUCGGAGCUCCGGUGCGGUUCACUUUGUACCGUGGAGACAGGUUCUAGAAAUCCGGUGUUCACUUCUCUCCCAGAAUAAUACACAUGAGAAGAAAACGAGGAGGUGAUCAAUGCCGCGACUCGUAAAUUGCGAUCAAAUUGGCUUGAAGAACAAAGCGGACUCGCGGUGCAAUGGAGAUUCGAAGAGGAAAAAUGGAAUCGAAACUGCGAACUCUCAACUCAGAUUCAUUAUUAGAUGAUGACUGAAGAGAGGUUGAAGAAGGUGAAGUAUGAAGCAGGGAGAUUAAAGCUUUUUGCAUAUGUGAUUUUGCAAAUCCUCUGAAUGAAGAGUGGUGAAUUUCAGGGUGGAAGAAUGGUGAUGAAUCAAAAAUCUGGGGAAGAAGAGACAGAGUCAGAAAGAUUGAUGAUUUGUGAAGGAUUCACAGUUAUUGAUGAUGGUUGCAAUUGAAUGAUGGGUGAGGCUUUGGACAGUGGAUAUUUUGAGUUUGGUUAUGGAGGUGUUUGAAAUUAUUGAAGAAGAAGGUUAGGGUGAAGAAGAUUCGAAAGAAGAAGAAGAGAAGGUGAUGAAAUGUUAAUGGCUUGCAAUUAGAAUGGUUGAAUAUAUGUUAUUUGCAUGUGAGAGGAUAAUAUGGAACCAUGAAUGAGAAUGAAGAGGUAAUGGGCGUAUGAUGUAAUGGUUGGAUAUGUA